AUGAUCAAAUGUGCCCAGAAAAACAAUCUCAUAACUGGGCUGGCUUCUGACCUGAUUCCCAAUGGGGUCGCGGUGCUGCAAUAUGCGGAUGACACAAUCUUAUGCCUGGAACAUGAUAUAGAAAAAGCUACUAACCUUAAGCUCCUGUUAUACAUCUUUGAAAUGAUGUCUGGGCUCAAGGUUAAUUUCCUCAAAAGCGAGAUUCUUAUGGUGGGUGGGGAUACUCAGGUCACCAAGGCCUAUGCUGAUCUCUUCAAUUGUGACAUAGGCCAGUUCCCUCUUAAAUACUUGGGUAUGCCAGUUAGUUUCACUACACUCAGGAACUCUGAUUGGGAAUUCAUUGUCGACAAAUAUCUCCUCAGAUUCGAUGCUUGGGUCGGCAAUGCUGCUUCCAUGGGUGGGAGACACACCCUACUAGAUUCGGUGGUUACGCAAUUAUCGCUCUAUCACAUGUCUAUGUGGUUGAUGAACAAAACCUUUGUGGAGAAGUUGGACAAACAUAGGAGGAGGUUCUUCUGGCAAGGAUGCCAAAAGAGACGUAGAUAUCACCUUGUUAGGUGGAAUAGAGUCUGCAGAUCUAAAGAUAAGGGCGGGCUCGGAGUCAAGGACUUACGCAAACAGAAUAUCAGUCUUAUGCUUAAGUAG
rnacentral:rRNA from 1 species